rnacentral:lncRNA from 1 species
AGAUGACAGGCGUGAGCCGCUGCACGCAGCACUGGUGUUAUUUUCAACAUCCCAGCUCACAUUGAUGAUCCUGAUUCUGGAUGAGCAACUGCCUGAUGGGUGGGAAGUCAAGUGCUAGGAAGAAUGUUUGCUUGAUUGUUCUUUUUAUUCUGUGUUUUCCCCUUACGUUAAUAAUUCUGUCUUCUGGGCAGUCUCUUUUAGCAUCCUCUGAGUGGCCAGAAUUACGUUUAUCCAAACGAAAACGUAGGAAAAUUCCAUUUUCCAAAAGAAAAAUGGAAUUAUCUCAGCCAGAAGUUUCUGAAGAUUUUGAAGAGGAUGCCUUAGGUGUACUACCAGCUUUCACAUCAAAUUUGGAACGUGGAGGUGUGGAAAAGCUAUUGGAUUUAAGUUGGACAGAGUCAUGUAAACCAACAGCAACUGAACCACUAUUUAAGAAAGUCAGUCCAUGGGAAACAUCUACUUCUAGCUUUUUUCCUAUUUUGGCUCCGGCCGUUGGUUCCUAUCUUCCCCCGACUGCCCGCGCUCACAGUCCUGCUUCCUUGUCUUUUGCCUCAUAUCGUCAGGUAGCUAGUUUCGGUUCAGCUGCUCCUCCCAGACAGUUUGAUGCAUCUCAAUUCAGCCAAGGCCCUGUGCCUGGCAGUUGUGCUGACUGGAUCCCACAGUCGGCGUCUUGUCCCACAGGACCUCCCCAGAACCCACCUUCUGCACCCUAUUGUGGCAUUGUUUUUUCAGGGAGCUCAUUAAGCUCUGCACAGUCUGCUCCACCGCAACCUGCUGGAGGCCAUAUGACCAGGCCUUCUGCUGGCACCUUCCCUGAGCUGGAUUCUCCCCAGCUUCAUUUCUCUGUUCCUACAGACCCUGAUCCCAUUAGAGGUUUUGGGUCUUAUCAUCCCUCUGCUUCUUCUCCUUUUCAUUUUCAACCUUCCGCAGCCUCUUUGACUGCCAACCUUAGGCUGCCAAUGGCCUCUGCCUUACCUGAGGCUCUUUGCAGUCAGUCCCGGACUACCCCACUAGAUCUCUGUCUUCUAGAAGAAUCAGUAGGCAGUCUCGAAGGAAGUCGAUGUCCUGUCUUUGCUUUUCAAAGUUCUGACACAGAAAGUGAUGAGCUAUCAGAAGUACUUCAAGACAGCUGCUUUUUACAAAUAAAAUGUGAUACAAAAGAUGACAGUAUCCUGUGCUUUCUGGAAGUAAAAGAAGAGGAUGAAAUAGUGUGCACACAACACUGGCAGGAUGCUGUGCCUUGGACAGAACUCCUCAGUCUACAGACAGAGGAUGGCUUCUGGAAACUUACACCAGAACUGGGACUUAUAUUAAAUCUUAAUACAAAUGGUUUGCACAGCUUUCUUAAACAAAAAGGCAUUCAAUCUCUAGGUGUAAAAGGAAGAGAACGUCUCCUGGACAUAAUUGCCACAAUGCUGGUACUACAGUUUAUUCGCACCAGGUUGGAAAAAGAGGGAAUAGUGUUCAAAUCACUGAUGAAAAUGGAUGACCCUUCUAUUUCCAGGAAUAUUCCCUGGGCUUUUGAGGCAAUAAAGCAAGCAAGUGAAUGGGUAAGAAGAACUGAAGGACAGUACCCAUCUAUCUGCCCACGGCUUGAACUGGGGAAAGACUGGGACUCUGCCACCAAGCAGUUGCUGGGACUCCAGCCCAUAAGCACUGUGUCCCCUCUUCAUAGAGUCCUCCAUUACAGUCAAGGCUAAGUCAAAUGAAACUGAAUUUUAAACUUUUUGCAUGCUUCUAUGUAGAAAAUAAUAAAAUGAUAAUAGAUACUUAUAAUGAAACUUCAUUAAGGUUUCAUUCAGUGUAGCAAUUACUGUCUUUAAAAAUUAAGUGGAAGAAGAAAUACUUUAAUCAACUAACAAGCAAUAAU